GAAGCGGGCCAGACCGCCGCCGGUGCAGGAUCCGAAAGGUUGCACGGGAGGAAGGUCCGGACUGCACAGGGCGGCGUAGCAGCUAACGGCUGUCCGGCGCGAGCCGAGGAUCAGAGCAACAGAGACGAGUCGGUGUUCUUCGCAAGAGGGGCAUCGGGUGAAACGGGCAAUCUCUACGCGCAGCAACACCGAAUAGGCACACGAUGAUUCGGCCCGAGGAGUGUGCGGGUAGGUGGCACCGAGCCGCGCAGUGAUGCGCGGCCCAGAGGAAUGGCGGUCACGGCGGGGUGCCUCGCAAGGGGAAUCCCGCCGCACAGAAUCCGGCCUAUCGGCCCGCUUCACAC
rnacentral:RNase_P_RNA from 1 species